rnacentral:rRNA from 1 species
UGGGGAAUUUUGCACAAUGGGGGAAACCCUGAUGCAGCGACGCCGCGUGAUUUAGAAGGCCUUCGGGUUGUAAAAAUCUUUUCUAUGUGAAGAAAAUGACAGUACCAUAGGAAUAAGGACCGGCUAAUUACGUGCCAGCAGCCGCGGUAAUACGUAAGGUCCGAGCGUUGUCCGGAAUCAUUGGGCGUAAAGGGUACGUAGGCGGGUAAGCAAGUUAGAAGUGAAAUCCUAUAGCUCAACUAUAGUAAGCUUUUAAAACUGCUCAUCUUGAAGUAUGGAAGGGAAAGUGGAAUUCCUAGUGUAGCGGUGAAAUGCGCAGAUAUUAGGAGGAAUACCGGUGGCGAAGGCGACUUUCUGGCCAUAACCUGACGCUGAGGUACGAAAGCGUGGGUAGCAAACAGG